UGCAAAGUCCAAGAUCAAGGUGUCAGCCAACUGGUUCUUGAUGAGUUGAUGAACUGCCUUCUCUCUUUGUCCCCAUAUGGAGAGAGAUAACUCUAGCCUCUCUUCUUCAACGGGCACUCAUCCCACCAAGGGGACCCCACCCUUGUGACCUCAUCUACACCUAUAAUCCUCUCAAGUGCCUACCUCCGAACUCCAUCACAUGUUGUUGUCUCUCAUUGGCCAAACCCAACUAGCAACUAAGGACAAGGGACCCUGGAUACUGCAGUCCUUGGGAGUCAGCCCUGCAGACCGCAGAGAAGGGUAGAAAAUGGAGAAGGGGCUGCCAGAGCAAACGAUCACAAACGCGAUGGCUUAAAACCACAGAAGUUAUUCUCUCACAGUUCUGGAAGCUGGAUGUCGGAAAUCAAGGGCCAUCUUUCCUCUGAAGACUCCAGGGAAAAAUCCUUCCUUGCCUCUUCCUAGCUGUUGGUGGUUUCUGGUGAUCCUUGGUGUCUUUCCCUUGGCUCGCCAUUGGAUCACUAGGAUCUCUUUCUCUGUUUUCACACUUCUCUCCGUUUCUCUGUGUGUCUUGUCUUCUUAUUAGGACACCAGUCAUUGGAGUUAGGGCCCUCCCUAAACCAGUAUGACUUUAUAAUUUAUUAACGUCUGCAGAGACCCUGUUUCCCAACAAGGUCACAUUCUAAAGUUGUGAGUGGAUGUGAAUUUGGGGGCGUACACUCUUCAACCCACUACACAAUUAAACUCAUUUUUUUCAGUGGAGGAGAAAGAGUCAGAAAGGUGAAGUUACCCAGGUCACUGUUAGAAAGUUGUAGAGCUGAGGGUACAUGCGUAUUCUUAACCAUUAACUAACCAAAAUGUCUUCCUUCUUCCCAUCUGCCUGCCCCUCUCUGCCCCUACCUUUGUGCUUUCGUUAUUUGCUCAUUCAAGGAUACUUUGGAGUUAGUUUAUCUUAAUUUCAGUGGACGAAAAUGACUGGGAUGGUUGGCU